rnacentral:rRNA from 1 species
ACUCCUACGGGAGGCAGCAGUAGGGAAUCUUCCGCAAUGGGCGAAAGCCUGACGGAGCAACGCCGCGUGAGUGAAGAAGGUCUUCGGAUCGUAAAACUCUGUUAUUAGGGAAGAACAAAUGUGUAAGUAACUAUGCACGUCUUGACGGUACCUAAUCAGAAAGCCACGGCUAACUACGUGCCAGCAGCCGCGGUAAUACGUAGGUGGCAAGCGUUAUCCGGAAUUAUUGGGCGUAAAGCGCGCGUAGGCGGUUUUUUAAGUCUGAUGUGAAAGCCCACGGCUCAACCGUGGAGGGUCAUUGGAAACUGGAAAACUUGAGUGCAGAAGAGGAAAGUGGAAUUCCAUGUGUAGCGGUGAAAUGCGCAGAGAUAUGGAGGAACACCAGUGGCGAAGGCGACUUUCUGGUCUGUAACUGACGCUGAUGUGCGAAAGCGUGGGGAUCAAACAGGAUUAGAUACCCUGGUAGUCCACGCCGUAAACGAUGAGUGCUAAGUGUUAGGGGGUUUCCGCCCCUUAGUGCUGCAGCUAACGCAUUAAGCACUCCGCCUGGGGAGUACGACCGCAAGGUUGAAACUCAAAGGAAUUGACGGG